rnacentral:lncRNA from 1 species
UGACACUAACAUGGCUUCACAUUCCUCAUGUAAAACACAAACAUCCCUUUGUGUCUGUGUGGUAUUGGGGGGUGUUAAUGCAUAUCUUGUAAAACUGGUUGAGGUGGUUUACACUAUUAGACGUGAUCGAUGAAAAAUAACUUUCUAGAUUUGCAAAGUGAUGUUUAGUUAAUGCUUCCAUCUGCUGUUGCAAAUUAGCAUUGCAACUACACCUGGUGGCGCUUUAUGCUAUAACCAUAGCUGGGUUUGGCCGCUUGAGGGCAGUGGUGGUUCAGGAGCGCGCACAUGUCACGCACGACUAGAAGGUGUGGUGGUGGAUGACUGAAUGAUGUGUGCGAGCCACUCUGACUCAGAGCUGCAACUUGCUGUAGCAGGUACAAGCGUGACGGGCGGAAAGUAGGUAAAUCUGAAGGUCUGUCGGUGACGCAAAGCCAGCAAAUCCAGUUUUUCUGUUGGCAAAAAAGUUUUAGGUGGAGCCUGUGUUGACUGUGUAGAGCUCUUUCAUGUUCUACCUGCAGUAACUGGAGGAUUCAUCUGCUUGAAAAUGGCCGUUGGUUGGUCGACUUCAGAGGGAAAGUCAAAAUGUGAGGAUUUAGCAGAAAUGCAACAAGGAGCAGGCAGUAAAUGCAGAACAGAGAAGGAGGAAGACUGCAGGUGGCAAUUAGAACAUUCAUUGGAAGAGAAAGGAUGCCGGUUAUGUCAAUAGGGGUUUUAGGAAGAUAAAAGAGCAAGUCAAACAGGAAGAAGGGAGGAUCAUGACUCAGUUACUUGGUAAGUUCCUUUUCCGUCUUUUUCCCCUGAAAACUCAUUGCUUUGUUUUGGGACAAACCUUCUGACUCACAUGUGUUGACAUGCGGCUGCAGUUUACAGGGGACCAUAGACUGAUGCAUUUCCAUCUGAUCACAUAGCGUGAACAUCACAGUCUAACGUGCCAAACCUCCUAACGUCAUUACAACACUGCCCUGAGUCCGACUGUACCUGGAAAGACCAAAGAGCAGAAACAAGGUUCACAGGACAAAAAGGACACAAUGACACAGGUUAAGGCAGCGAGCAGCAGAAAAGGCUCCGAAAAGAGCGACAGGUCAAUAAAAUACUGAAUAAAAUUCUCA